UGGGGAAUAUUGCACAAUGGGCGCAAGCCUGAUGCAGCCAUGCCGCGUGUGUGAAGAAGGCCUUCGGGUUGUAAAGCACUUUCAGCGAGGAGGAAGGUGGUGAACUUAAUACGUUCAUCAAUUGACGUUACUCGCAGAAGAAGCACCGGCUAACUCCGUGCCAGCAGCCGCGGUAAUACGGAGGGUGCAAGCGUUAAUCGGAAUUACUGGGCGUAAAGCGCACGCAGGCGGUUUGUUAAGUCAGAUGUGAAAUCCCCGGGCUCAACCUGGGAACUGCAUUUGAGACUGGCAAGCUAGAGUCUCGUAGAGGGGGGUAGAAUUCCAGGUGUAGCGGUGAAAUGCGUAGAGAUCUGGAGGAAUACCGGUGGCGAAGGCGGCCCCCCUGGACGAAGACUGACGCUCAGGUGCGAAAGCGUGGGGCAGCAAACAGGAUUAGAUACCCUGGUAGUCCAGCGCUGUAAACGAUGUCGAUUUGGAGGUUGUGCCCUUGAGGCGUGGCUUCCGGAGCUAACGCGUUAAAUCGACCGCCUGGGGAGUACGGCCGCAAGGUUAAAAACUUAAAGGAAUUGAC
rnacentral:rRNA from 1 species